rnacentral:tRNA from 1 species
GCCGGGGUGGCCGAGCGGUCUAAGGCGGCGGGCUGCAGUAAUAAUGCGGCUAUGCCCAUCGUUAUGGAGACCCGUUUUUCCCGGGUUCGAAUCCCGGCCCCGGCU